rnacentral:rRNA from 1 species
AGUGAACGCUGGCGGCGUGCUUAACACAUGCAAGUCGAACGGACGAAAUAAGCUUGCUUAUUUCGUUAGUGGCGCACGGGUGAGUAAUGUAUAGCUAACCUGCCCUUUAGUGGGGGACAACAGUUGGAAACGACUGCUAAUACCCCAUACUCCUUCUUAUCGUAAGAUAAGUUGGGAAAGAUUUAUUGCUAAAGGAUGGGGCUUUAUGGUAUCAGCUAGUUGGUGGGGUAAUGGCCUACCAAGGCGAUGACGCCUACCUGGUCUGAGAGGAUGAUCAGGCACACUGGAACUGAGACACGGUCCAGACUCCUACGGGAGGCAGCAGUGGGGAAUAUUGCACAAUGGGGGAAACCCUGAUGCAGCAACGCCGCGUGGAGGAUGACGCAUUUCGGUGUGUAAACUCCUUUUAUAAGGGAAGAUAAUGACGGUACCUUAUGAAUAAGCACCGGCUAACUCCGUGCCAGCCGCCGCGGUAA